UGUUCUGUAGCUUAGUUGGUUAAAGCGCUGGUCUAGCGCAAACGAAGUCGUGAGUUCAAGUCUCACUAGAACGC
rfam:Aedes aegypti strain Liverpool supercont1.142 genomic scaffold, whole genome shotgun sequence.